rnacentral:rRNA from 1 species
AGCGAACGCUGGCGGCAGGCCUAACACAUGCAAGUCGAACGAACCUUUCGGGGUUAGUGGCGGACGGGGGAGUAACACGUGGGAACGUGCCUUUAGGUUCGGAAUAACUCAGGGAAACUUGUGCUAAUACCGAAUGUGCCCUUCGGGGGAAAGAUUUAUCGCCUUUAGAGCGGCCCGCGUCUGUUUAGCUAGUUGGGUGAGGUAAUGGCGCAGCAAGGCGACGAUAAGUAGAUGGUCUGAGAGGAUGAUCAGACACAUUGGGACUGGGACACGGCGCAAACUCCUACGGGAGGCAGCAGUGGGGAAUCUUGCGAAAUGGGGGAAAGCCUGACGCAGCCAUGCCGCGUGAAUGAUGAAGGUCUUAGGAUUGUAAAAUUCUUUCACCGGGGACGAUAAUGACGGUACCCGGAGAAGAAGCCCCGGCUAACUUCGUG